rnacentral:rRNA from 1 species
GAGGGAGGAAGGCUUUUGGGGUUGUAAACCUUCUUUUCUCAGGGAGAAUACUGACGGUACCUGGAGGAAUCAGCAUCGGCUAACUCCGUGCCAGCAGCCCGCGGUAAUACGGAGGAUGCAAGCGUUAUCGGGAAUUAUUGGGCCGUAAAGCGUCUGUAGGUGGAUAUUCAAGUCUGCUGUCAAAGACCCGUGGCUCAACCAUGGAAAAGGCGGUGGAAACUGAAGAUCUAGAGUGCGGUAGGGGCAGAGGGAAUUCCCAGUGUAGCGGUGAAAUGCGUAGAGAUUGGGAAGAACACCGGUGGCGAAAGCGCUCUGCUAGGCCUGCGCUGACACUAAGGGACGAAAGCUAGGGGAGCGAAUGGGAUUAGAUACCCCAGUAGUCCUAGCCGUAAACGAUGGAUACUAGGCGUAGCUGGUAUCGACCCCAGCUGUGCCGUAGCUAACGCGUUAAGUAUCCCGCCUGGG